GAUGAAGAACGCAGCAAAAUGCGAUACUUGGUGUGAAUUGCAGAAUCCCAUGAACCAUCGAGUUUUUGAACGCAAGUUGCGCCCGAAGCCUUUUGGCCGAGGGCACGUCUGCCUGGGCGUCACGCAUCGCGUCGCCCCCCACAAUUCUCCGUAAAAGGAACAUGGGUUUUGGGGGCGGAUAUUGGUCUCCCGUGCUCAUGGCGUGGUUGGCCGAAAUAGGAGUCCUUUCGAUGGACGCACGAACUAGUGGUGGUCGUAAAAACCCUCGUCUUUUGUUUCGUGCUGUUGCUCGCAAGGUAAACUCUUUAAAAACCCCAAUGUGUCGUCUCUUGACGACGCUUCGACCGCGACCCCAGGUCAGGCGGGACUACCCGCUGAGUUUAAGCAUAUCAAUAAGCGGAGGA
rnacentral:misc_RNA from 1 species